rnacentral:rRNA from 1 species
GGGGAAUAUUGGACAAUGGGGGAAACCCUGAUCCAGCAAUGCCGCGUGUGCGAAGAAGGCCUUCGGGUUGUAAAGCACUUUUAGUUGAGAAGAAAGAUACAGAAUUAAUACUUCUGUGUUGUGACGUUACCAACAGAAAAAGCACCGGCAAACUCUGUGCCAGCAGCCGCGGUAAUACAGAGGGUGCAAGCGUUAAUCGGAAUUACUGGGCGUAAAGAGCGCGUAGGUGGAUAGGUAAGUUGGAUGUGAAAGCCCUGGGCUCAACCUGGGAACUGCAUUCAAAACUGCCUGUCUAGAGUACGGUAGAGGGAAGUGGAAUUUCCGGUGUAGCAGUGAAAUGCGUAGAUAUCGGAAGGAACACCAGUGGCGAAGGCGACUUCCUGGACUGAUACUGACACUGAGGCGCGAAAGCGUGGGGAGCAAAC